UAGGGAAUCUUCGGCAAUGGGGGCAACCCUGACCGAGCAACGCCGCGUGAGUGAAGAAGGUUUUCGGAUCGUAAAGCUCUGUUGUAAGAGAAGAACGUGUGUGAGAGUGGAAAGUUCACACAGUGACGGUAACUUACCAGAAAGGGACGGCUAACUACGUGCCAGCAGCCGCGGUAAUACGUAGGUCCCGAGCGUUGUCCGGAUUUAUUGGGCGUAAAGCAAGCGCAGGCGGUUUAAUAAGUCUGAAGUUAAAGGCAGUGGCUUAACCAUUGUUCGCUUUGGAAACUGUUAAACUUGAGUGCAGAAGGGAAGAGUGGAAUUCCAUGUGUAGCGGUGAAAUGCGUAGAUAUAUGGAGGAACACCGGUGGCGAAAGCGGCUCUCUGGUCUGUAACUGACGCUGAGGCUCGAAAGCGUGGGGAGCAAACAGG
rnacentral:rRNA from 1 species